GCCGCUACUCGCGUGGGAGGGCCCGGAAGGAGGCGGUGCUGCGCCUCGGGGCGGGGGCCGGGCGAAGGCGACGUCCUUCUCCGGGAGAAUUGGAAAAUAAAGGGAAGUGGAGGAAACGCCCACGAUUCUACUCCUCGAACAUAAUUUUCCACGUUUGUUCAUUCCCUUUCAGGUGUGGAGAGAGAAGAAAACAGAAGACAGAUGCUCUGCCAGAAUCCAGUAUGGAGCAUUU